rnacentral:sRNA from 1 species
AGUAGAUUGGGAAACUCUUCAAACCAAAAUAAAAUUCCGAGACACGCUUGACCGACCAAUGGCGGGCCCCAUUCUCCCCCCCGGGAGAAGUUCGGUUUCCGGACCAGGCGGAUUACAAAGGGCGGCGGGCACUCAAAUCCUGUCUUUUCGGAGUUUCAUCGCAUCCUUUGGUGUGGAUUUUA